GGUAAUCCAUAUGUUACCCUUUCACUAAUAUUUAGCACCAUCUGUUGGCAAUAAUAUAAACUGAAAUUAUAAUAAUAAUAAAAUUUAUCCUAUAGGAUUAAAGAAUGUAGUAUCUAGGUGUCUUUUAAUGGCAGAAUAUCACUAUCGAAUUUCAUGAAAAUCUGUUAAUUGGUUCAAAAAUUAUUAGUGGGGACAGAUAUUGGCCAAAUUUUAUAAACUUUUCAUUUCCUUUGAAAAUAGGCUAAUGACCAUCUCAAAGAAGUGCAGGACUCUACCUAUCUUAAAUCAUAUCAGAACACAUGAUAUAAAAAAUAAAAAACUGAAAACAUUGCAGUUCCACCGAAAUUUAUUUAAAAUUUGGAAAUCAUUUCUAAUAUUCACCAAAACAGAAAUCAGACUUACAAAAGUAUCAGCCAAAUCAUCUUUCUCCAUAGGUCCCAAACAUGGGAUAUUUCAAUAAAAAAUAAUCAGAAAAUCUUAUUAACAUUUUUGGAAUUACUCACUUUAAGGUACAUCCUAGAAUAUUCUCAGACUGACACCAAAUUCUGUUAUCCUGGAACAAACUCAACAAAUCCCAUUUAUCUAUACUAUCCAAAUAAAUCAGAUUAAAAGGAUGAGGCAUCACUUUGACAUCUUCCAAAAAUUACUUUUGUAUCUUAGCACUCUAUAAUCCAGUAAAUGGAUAAAGAAGAAGAGGCACCUAAAACUCAAUUCUGGAAAUACUAUAACAGUUUAUUUAGAAACUACUUGUUUUAUGCCAUUAGACAUUCAUCAAACUGCCUAGGACAGAGGACUUUGGUCCUCCUUCUCAUCUUAAUUCCAGAAACUGUUUUAAUCAUUUGUAUAUUUGUAUAGUUUCUGUAUUUAUAAUUGUAUUGAUAAUAAAUAAACAAUGAUG
rnacentral:lncRNA from 1 species